rnacentral:rRNA from 1 species
UACGGGGGGGGCAAGCGUUGUUCGGAAUUACUGGGCGUAAAGGGCUCGUAGGCGGCCCACUAAGUCAGACGUGAAAUCCCUCGGCUUAACCGGGGAACUGCAUCUGAUACUGGAUGGCUUGAGUUCGGGAGAGGGAUGCGGAAUUCCAGGUGUAGCGGUGAAAUGCGUAGAUAUCUGGAGGAACACCGGUGGCGAAGGCGGCAUCCUGGACCGACACUGACGCUGAGGAGCGAAAGCGAGGGGAGCAAACGGG